rnacentral:rRNA from 1 species
AUUGAACGCUGGCGGCAUGCCUUACACAUGCAAGUCGAACGGCAGCGGGGGAGAAGCUUGCUUUUCCUGCCGGCGAGUGGCGAACGGGUGAGUAAUACAUCGGAACGUGCCCUGUAGUGGGGGAUAACUAGUCGAAAGAUUAGCUAAUACCGCAUACGACCUGAGGGUGAAAGUGGGGGACCGCAAGGCCUCAUGCUAUAGGAGCGGCCGAUGUCUGAUUAGCUAGUUGGUGGGGUAAAGGCCUACCAAGGCGACGAUCAGUAGCUGGUCUGAGAGGACCAUCAGCCACACUGGGACUGAGACACGGCCCAGACUCCUACGGGAGGCAGCAGUGGGGAAUUUUGGACAAUGGGCGAAAGCCUGAUCCAGCAAUGCCGCGUGUGUGAAGAAGGCCUUCGGGUUGUAAAGCACUAUUGUCCGGAAAGAAAUGGCUCUGGUUAAUACCUGGGGUCGAUGACGGUACCGGAAGAAUAAGGACCGGCUAACUACGUGCCAGCCGCCGCGGUAAUAC